AUGGAGCAGUCCAGAACUGGCGUGUUGCUGGAGAAGCUGACGGCCACGAACUACAGCACCUGGUCGGUCCGCAUGCAACACUUCCUCAAGCGUGAGGGCCUGUGGAAGGUGGUGGAAACUACACCGCAGCCCCCUGAGGAGGAUGAGGACGACAAUGAAAAGCUGGCACUAGCAGAGGCCCAGCUUGAAAAGGAUGAGAAAGCUUUGGCUACGAUCAUCCUUGGAGUGGACGACAGCCAGCUAGUCUAUGUAGCUGAUAAGGUGACGGCAAGUGAGGCGUGGAAUGCGCUCAAGGCUGUCCAUGUGCGAGAGACGGCUGGCUCACUGAUAACACUGACCAGGAGACUGUACCGGUGUCGCAAGAAACCGGGGGACUCCCUGGUAAACCACCUAAAAUUCCUAACAGGCUGUUUCCAGGAGCUAGCCUUAAGAGGGAGGCCUGUGGGGGAAGAGGACAAAGUCUUUAUAGUCCUGAGUUCCCUUGAUGACAGCUAUGAUAUGCUGGUCAACUCCCUAGAGUCUGUAGAGACUGAUAAACUGACUCUGGAAUACGUGACCGGACGGUUGUAUGCAGAGGAGGACAGGCGUGCAGAGCGAAAGAUGACCUCAGCCCAGCUGUUGGAGCAUCCCAGAGGGAACAACAGCCGGGAAGAGCAGAGGUGUCGGGAGCCGGAGAAACAGCCAGGAGGAGCUGCUGCAGACCAGCCGGUGGUCAACAAAGUAAAAAGGUGUUUUUGCUGCAAGUCCAGUGGACAUCUUCUGCGGGACUGCCCGAGAAAACAACAAAAACAGCGGAAGCACAAGUGGCAGCAGAGGGAGUCUACCGCUUGGGUGUCUGCAGAUGGUCAAGAAAAAGAGGAGCUGUGGGUUCUGGACAGUGGAGCUUCUCAAACCUUUUGUAAAAGAAAAGGACUGCUAACUGAUGCUAGGGCUUCAAACAAAAAACAUGUAAGUCUUGCUACAGGCCAGAAAGCUAAUGUGGUUUGUGAGGGGGAGGUUGUGUUCCCACAGCUGGGACACACAUUCAGGAAUGUAUUGUGUGUGCCUAGUUUGCAAAACAAUCUCCUGAGCAUUCCUGAUUUGGCAAAAGCAGGCUUUGAAGUAAAUUUUGUGGGAGACCAGUGCCAGAUAAAGCAAAAUGGGGCAGUGUUGGCAAAUGCUAGCCUUAGAACUAAUAUGUAUGUACUGCAGUAUGAAUCUAAGGUUGCAAAUGUGCAAAAUGUCCCGACCCAUGAUAUGUGUAUUCAUCUCCUGCACAGGCGUCUGGCUCAUGCUAGCUAUAAGGUGCUAAACAAAACAUUGGAGUUGUGUGGGGGGAUGAAAAACAUAAAAAGUUGUGAUAAUUACUUAGACUGCAAUAUCUGCAAGGAAGUUAAAAGCAGGGCUUGCCCAGUAGCAAGAGCAAGCCAGAGAGAAACCAAAAAACCACUGGAGUUGAUCCAUGCUGAUGUAACUGGUCCUUUUCCACCUAGUGUCUCCCACAACAAAUACUGUUUAAUCCUAGUGGAUGAUUUUUCUAGAUUUGGCUGGGUCUAUCCAUUAAAGCAGAAGUCUGACGUUGCCCAAACUUUGAAGUUCUGGGUAAGAAGGGUAGAAAGGCAACUUGGUGAAAAGGUGUCCUCUAUUCAAUCAGACAGGGGAGGGGAGUUUAUGGCAAGCUCCCUAAGAAACUGGUUGCGUACCCAAGGGAUUAAACAUAGGCUUACCAAUGUGGCCACGCCUCAGGAGAACGGAGUAGCAGAGCGUAGGGGAGGUGUCUUGCAGACACAAAUGAAAGCAUUGUUAGCAGAUGCAAAUCUUCCAAUUAAGUACUGGGCUGAAAGUAUUAAGACCGCGAAUUAUAUUGGGAAUCGCUUGUGGUCAAGGGUACUAGAUGACAUACCCUAUAAAAUUCUCUAUAACAAAAGUCCCAGUUUGCAACAUUUAAGAAUCUUUGGGACAAAGGCAUGGGUUGACAUACCUGUGAAAAACCGAAGAAAAGGUGGGAAAAGGGCACAGCAGUUGCUAUUUCUUGGGUAUGAAAGUGGUACGAAAGCCUACAGGUUUGAAGAUGAUAAAAACCUUUUGAGUUAUAGCCGAUCAGCCAGCUUUAAUGAGCAAAGAAAUUGGCCCAAGAUACAUGCAAACCUGCUGCCAGAAAAAGUUUUACUGCCGAGCAUACCUGAUAAGGCAGCUGAAACAAAGCUAAGAACUGGCAGCUCUCCCAGAGAAACUGAAAGGGAGGAAGUAAAGGUUGAGCAUUUUUCUCCAACUGCUAGCAUGGAGCAGGGGAAAGAAGAAAGUGCAACAGAGACAGGAGGAGGUAGAUCUACAGAGUCAAUCCACCCCAUAAGCAGUCCUGAAGGUAGCCCAGGGGGUGAGGUUAAUGAACCAAGGAGGUCUGCAAGAAGUAAUAAAGGUCAACCUCCAGACCGUUAUGGGUUCCCAGCCACAAUAAACCAGGUUUGUGUAACUGAGCCAGAAAACUUUGAAGAAGUGCAAGAGUUACCUACUCUAGAGAAAGAGGCGUGGUUAAAGGCAAUGCAGGCAGAGUAUAACUCUCUGCUAAACAACAAUGUCUUUGUACCUACAGAAUUGCCUGAAGGUAAAAAGCCCAUAAGCUGUAAGUGGGUUUUUAAAGUGAAAAAGCUGGCUGAUGGUAGUUGUCAGAGGAAAGCCAGGUUGGUUGCACGGGGCUUUACACAGAGGAAAAUGAUACAUUAUGAUGAAGUGUUUGCCCCAACAGCAAAGGCUGAAACAGUAAAAUCAGUUUUAGCAAUGGCAAGUCUGAGAGGGUUAAAAGUUAAUCAUUUUGAUGUUGCCUCAGCAUAUUUAAAUGCUCCUAUUGACGCCGAGGUAUAUUUACAGCAAAUACCAGGUUAUGAGCUGGAAAAAGACAGCAUGGUGUUAAAACUGCAAAGGGCACUAUACGGUUUACACCAAAGUGCACGUCUAUGGCAUGAAUGCAUAGACACAACUUUGAAAAAGAUUGGGUAG
rnacentral:lncRNA from 1 species